rnacentral:lncRNA from 1 species
UUUAAUUCAUGGACUACAUUCAUGAAACACAUUUAAUUCUGGGAAGUGUAAACACUAUACAAAUAAAAUAAAGACUCUAGAAAAUAAUGUAUUUAAGUUAAACAUUCUAAUCAAGUUUAAAAAGCUCUUUUAUAAUAUUCAAAAUGUGGAAAUAACCCAUAUGUGCAACCCAAAUAAAAGAAACAGUUAAAUAAAGGAUACCUAAAUAAAAUAUAUCAAGUAGAUAACAUAAAUAAUGUUUUGGAAAAUAUUUUAUGUUGUAUGAAAAAAUGUUUAAAAGAUAA